rnacentral:rRNA from 1 species
AGAGGGGGAUAACGUUUGGAAACGAACGCUAAUACCGCAUGAUAUUAUUGAGCUGCAUGGCUUGAUAAUCAAAGGAGUAAUCCGCUGAAAGAUGGGCUCGCGUCCGAUUAGGUAGUUGGCGGGGCAACGGCCCACCAAGCCGACGAUCGGUAGCCGGACUGAGAGGUUGAACGGCCACAUUGGGACUGAGACACGGCCCAGACUCCUACGGGAGGCAGCAGUGAGGGAUAUUGGUCAAUGGAGGAAACCCUGAACCAGCAACGCCGCGUGAGGGAAGACGGUUUUCGGAUUGUAAACCUCUGUCCUCUGUGAAGAUAAUGACGGUAGCAGAGGAGGAAGCUCCGGCUAACUACGUGCCAGCAGCCGCGGUAAUACGUAGGGAGCAAGCGUUGUCCGGAUUUACUGGGUGUAAAGGGUGCGUAGGCGGCUUUGCAAGUCAGAAGUGAAAUCCAUGGGCUUAACCCAUGAACUGCUUUUGAAACUGCAGAGCUUGAGUGGAGUAGAGGUAGGCGGAAUUCCCGGUGUAGCGGUGAAAUGCGUAGAGAUCGGGAGGAACACCAGUGGCGAAGGCGGCCUGCUGGGCUCUAACUGACGCUGAGGCACGAAAGCGUGGGUAGCAAACAGGAUUAGAUACCCUGGUAGUCCACGCUGUAAACGAUGAUUACUAGGUGUGGGUGGACUGACCCCAUCCGUGCCGGAGUUA